GAUGAACGCUGGCGGCGUGCCUAAUACAUGCAAGUCGAGCGAACAGACGAGGAGCUUGCUCCUCUGACGUUAGCGGCGGACGGGUGAGUAACACGUGGAUAACCUACCUAUAAGACUGGGAUAACUUCGGGAAACCGGAGCUAAUACCGGAUAAUAUAUUGAACCGCAUGGUUCAAUAGUGAAAGACGGUUUUGCUGUCACUUAUAGAUGGAUCCGCGCCGCAUUAGCUAGUUGGUAAGGUAACGGCUUACCAAGGCAACGAUGCGUAGCCGACCUGAGAGGGGGAUCGGCGACCCUGGAACUGAGACACGGUCCAGACGCCUACGGGAGGCAGCAGUAGGGAAUCUUCCGCAAUGGGCGAAAGCUUGACGGAGCAACGCCGCGUGAGUGAUGAAGGUCUUCGGAUCGUAAAACUCUGUUAUUAGGGAAGAACAAAUGUGUAAGUAACUAUGCACGUCUUGACGGUACCUAAUCAGAAAGCCACGGCUAACUACGUG
rnacentral:rRNA from 1 species